GCAUAGCCCUGAUAGAAGUGGAAAUCCUUUUUUGCCAGUCCCGAUAGCUAUCGGGAGGCGCAAAAGAUUGAAACGUAUAGCGGGAUUAGCU
rnacentral:sRNA from 1 species